AUGAACGCUGGCGGCGUGCCUAAUACCUGCAAGUCGAGCGAACAGACGAGGAGCUUGCUCCUCUGACGUUAGCGGCGGACGGGUGAGUAACACGUGGAUAACCUACCUAUAAGACUGGGAUAACUUCGGGAAACCGGAGCUAAUACCGGAUAAUAUAUUGAACCGCAUGGUUCAAUAGUGAAAGACGGUUUUGCUGUCACUUAUAGAUGUAUCCGCGCCGCAUUAGCUAGUUGGUAAGGUAACGGCUUACCAAGGCAACGAUGCGUAGCCGACCUGAGAGGGUGAUCGGCCACACUGGAACUGAGACACGGUCCAGACUCCUACGGGAGGCAGCAGUAGGGAAUCUUCCGCAAUGGGCGAAAGCCUGACGGAGCAACGCCGCGUGAGUGAUGAAGGUCUUCGGAUCGUAAAACUCUGUUAUUAGGGAAGAACAAAUGUGUAAGUAACUAUGCACGUCUUGACGGUACCUAAUCAGAAAGCCACGGCUAACUACGUG
rnacentral:rRNA from 1 species